rnacentral:rRNA from 1 species
UACGUAGGUGGCGAGCGUUGUCCGGAUUUAUUGGGCGUAAAGCGCGCGCAGGCGGCUGCCUAAGUCUGCGGUGAAAUCUCCCUGGCUCAACCGGGAGGGGGCCGUGGAGACUGGGCAGCUGGAGGGACCUAGAGGCCGGUGGAAUUCCCGGUGUAGUGGUGAAAUGCGUAGAUAUCUGGAGGAACACCGGUGGCGAAGGCGGCGUCCUGGACCAACACUGACACUGAUGAGCGAAAGCCAGGGGAGCAAACGGG